ACUUAGUAAGUUCAUAUGAAAACAAUAAGCAACUCAUUAACUUGUUUUAUCAAUGUUUACAACAUAUUCUCAAGUUCACUACAAGCUGUCUUCCUGAGCAACAGUCACUAAAUUAUUUAUAUCUGGAGCUACGAAACUACGAAUUAAGUUCCGUUAAUUUUCCCUGAAACUAGACUUAUUUUCCUUUCUUCCAUAAAAUUUCCAGAAUUUUUGGUUAAGCCAAAUAGUACAGUUUAUUAGUUAAAGUCUCCCCUAUUUCAGGGUAUGACCACUCUGACCCCUGUGCACUACAAACUGAAUUUCUUCCUGUACAAAAUUCCAAC
rnacentral:lncRNA from 1 species